UCUCUGCAUUUACAGGGGUGAAGUGUGGUGGAGCAGGGUGUGUCUGAAAUCUGAAUAGCUUCUUAGGCACUCUUGAAUAAGCAUCAACAAUAGAUAGUGCUACCCAACCCAGGCUCUGCCCUGGGACCAGGAUACAUCUGCUUCCAGUGGUCUAGCUUUUCCGUAGUCAUGGCCGCUCAGAUCCAGUGCCCUGCUGUGGUGUGGAGUGAGCAGGGCUGGAGUGUCCACUUGGACUAGAGCAGCGAAGCAGUCUCUUGAAACCAGGCAUCUGCUAAAGAGCAGACCUCUCUCUGUCCUACCUUGAGGGCUAGCCAACAAGUGUGCUCCUCGCUAAUGAAGUCCAGCCUGCCCUAGCCCUUCUGUUGCCCCAGCUGUCUUCCAACCAGCCGAAGGAGCUUGUCUCCUCAGCAUAGGACCCCAGGACUGGAACGCCCAAUCUGUGGCUCGACCUGUUCACUCCGCAAGGUCUCUUGUUACCAAGAAUGUGAAAUACUGGGUACUGGUAAUUCUGACUAGAAGGUGGGACAGGUUCCCAUGCAGCCGUUCUGAUGCAUUUGCCAACAAAUAUAAGGUAGUUAUAAGUCAUUGCUUCACCAGUGCCAAAGACAGUCCAAUAAUUCACACCUGCCUCUUCUGAUCCUUAGGCAGAGAAUUCUGAAAUGCAUUCUCCAUGAAUCCUCAGAGAAUUCUAGCAAAACUGAAGCCCCAUUACCCACAGUAGGAUCAGCUCAUAACUCACUCUUUGGGUUAAAUUUCCUUGCUUUCUUUUUGCCCAUCUUUUGGUUCUCUGCUCUUAUUCUUUGGGAUCACCCCUCAAAAGAAAAAGCAAAAACAAACCAUCCUAUUUCCAACUCUGCUUUUAAGGAAAACCUAAAAUAAAACAUUGGAUAAAGAUGAAGCAAGUAUGAUUGUCACAGAUUUAUUCAGGGAGGUAAGGGCCAUGAAGGUAAGGUGAUGAGGUUUGAAUAUUAAAGGGAAAAACUGAUAAAAACACUGGCUUUGUGAGUUUUGAUCUGACCAAUGAAGUAAUUAUUCCACUGUUUGGUGAACAUGGAGUAAUGUGAAGAAAUUACACUCUCAUAGGGUAAAUUUAUUUAGUUUCAACUUUACUGUGAGAAGCUCUAGUGUUUGGAGACAAGGGACCAAGUACAAACUACUUAACUUCUACUAGCCUCAGUGUUAUUCUGUAUAAAAUAUAAAUAAUGGUAAUAUCAAAUUCAUAUGGUUGUUACAAGGAUCAAAUGAAAUAAUAUCUAUAAAUCAGUCCUGUGUUUUGAAAACACAAGGGCCAAUUUCAUCUCUCUGGAUAGAAGG